rnacentral:rRNA from 1 species
AUUGAACGCUGGCGGCAGGCCUAACACAUGCAAGUCGGGCGAGUGGCGGACGGGUGAGUAAUGUAUGGGGAUCUGCCUGAUGGCGGGGAUUACUACUGGAAACGGUAGCUAAUAACGCAUACCAUCAGGUGGACCCCUAUGGGAUUAGCUAGUAGGGUAGGUAACGGCCUACCAAGGCGACGAUCCCUAGGUGGUCUGAGAGGAUGAUCAGCCACACUGGAACUGAGACACGGCCCAGACUCCUACGGGAGGCAGCAGUGGGGAAUAUUGCACAAUGGGCGCAAGCCUGAUGCAGCCAUGCCGCGUGUAUGAAGAAGGCCUUAGGGUUGUAAAGUACUUUCAGCGGGGAGGCGUUACCCGCAGAAGAAGCACCGGCUAACUCCGUGCCAGCAGCCGCGGUAAUUC